rnacentral:lncRNA from 1 species
CCUUCCCGAACCAAACAUGAAUCUUUCGAUUCAUUUGGCUCUCACGCUCAAUUACUUAAGGUAAAUUCUCAUAUCUUUUUUUAUGAAUGUAAUGAGCCUAUCUUCUCUUCUUUGUUCAUAUUCCAAAAAGAUAUCGAAACUAAUGUAAGACCAAAAUAGUCGGAGGACUCUUCUGACAAACUCAAAAAUAUGUAAUUGUCAGCAAAGUUGUUUCUUUUUUUUUCAAAUCCAAAAAGUUCUUCUUACUUAGAAUAGGUCGUCGAUUCAGCAUUAGAUAAAGGGGGUAAAAUCCCUGUUUUUACAAUUUACAAUAAGCGGUUAAAAUCAUUUUAUCAAUAUGAGUAUCCUAUAUCGAUAAAAUAUUUAUUUUGAAACCACCUCUAACAUAGUGGUAGAAAGAGUACCAUGCUGCGUCUAGACUUCAAACAGUUUGUUUUAACCAUGUUAAUAGUUCCACAUUAUUGGUUAAUAGAGAAUCAAAAUAAAUUUACCAAUGAAUCGCGAAAUGCUAUGGUUCUUACAUAUAAUUUAUGAAUUUAUACAGAAGUAAUUCGCGAGAUCAUGCACCUCUCUUUCCUACUUAUAACGGAAAAGGGUACAGUUGGUUGGUCCAACCUAUUCUUGAAAUAAACAACUCGCACACACUCCCUUUCCAAAAAAAAUCAAUACACCAAGCACUACACUUAGAUUUAUUGGAUUUGUUGCUAAAAUAUCGGUAUUAAACCCGAAACUCCCGGCAGAUGGCCAGUGGCCCAAAGAAACGAAAGAAUCGGUUACGUUUUUCAUAUGAUCUCCUCUUAUAGAUAGACUAAAAAAUCGAACAGAGUUCUUUUUGUAGCACUUCGCCCCUCUUUUUAUUUAUUCUUUUAUUUUUUCUGAAAUUGAGUAAAAAAAUAAAAAAUAUUCGAGUUAGUUAGAAAUUAUGAACUAAUGAACUAGCCCUUUUAUUGGUUAUUGGAACACUAACACUUACUAAAAAGAGUUUCCCUUGGUCUAUGAACGGGAAGGAUGAAAGCGAGUCAAGUAGGCUAAUUCCUCAUCCGCAAAUCAGCCCUUCCCCUAGGUUCUUUUCUCAAAGAAUAAAGAAUGGUAGGAGGGAAAUCUUGAUAGAAUUUGAAAAAGCAAACGACAAGUCGAAGGCAAUAAAAUAUGAAAAAUAUAUUUUUCAUAUUUCUAAGCUAAGAUUAAACAAAAGGAUUUGCAAAUAAAAGUGCUAAUGCUACAACCAGUCCAUAAAUUGUUAAAGCUUCCAUAAAAGCUAGACUAAGCAAUAGCGUACCUCGUAUUUUGCCCUCUGCCUCAGGCUGUCUCGCGAUACCCUCUACAGCUUGACCCGCAGCAGUCCCUUGACCAACUCCAGGUCCAAUAGAAGCAAGCCCUACGGCCAAUCCAGCAGCAAUAACGGAAGCGGCAGAAAUCAGUGGAUUCAUGAUAAGUUCCUCGUACCAAAAAAAGAAAUGGUUAAUGAUACAAUCAACCAAUGAAUUAUGACUUAAUUAUUCCCUCACUAGGACUCAUCCAGUCGAAGUAACUAAGAACUUCGGAUUGAAGUAAUAAGAUUCUUGAAUCAUCAAAACAACUUCGAUAUAUCUUUUUUACUUUUUAGCCACAGAGUCUUUGUGAACCCAUACGACUUUCAUUCUUCCAUUUCUUGUUCUUGGUUCGAACUGUUAGUUGAAUUAUUUCUUGAUUUCAUCCGUUUAGUCAUUCAAUUCACAGUCACAAGGGGCCGGAAGGACUUCUAGUCUAUUAGAAUCCCCUAGAAAAAUAUAUCUUUAGUAGUUCAUUUCAUAUAUAACUAGCACUAGGCAAUAUCUAAUAUCACAUAUACAUGUCUUUCUUCCAUAACGUAAACCAAGCAUUCAUCUUAGAUUUAAUCCUAUUCGAGAAUCAAGCGUCGAAACAUCUAGAAGGGUUCGCUUAUAGUUAUUCAAGUACAGAUACCUCCCGCCCCUUUCUAAAAUACUAAAAAAAACUUUUGAAAAAUUCUUUUGAAUCUUACCUUUUCUUAUUAUUCCACCUAGAGAAAUCUAAAUGGACAAAUUGAUUAGGACGACAAAUUCCAUAGGUAUAGAAAUAUCAUUAUUUGAUUGAUCUAAGUUCAUGCACUUUAUUAAUAAAACUGAAUAAAAAAAUUAUUCAUUUUUAUUAUUUAUUUAUUAUUAAUAUUUUGGUGAAUCGUUGAAUAAAAUCAACUGAAAGGGAAAUCAUUUCGCCCUUUUUUUUAUUUAAUUACACGUCGUAAACCUAUACAACAAGAAUUAUUGACAAAAAUUCUUAUAUUCAAAUUGUUUUAACAAUGAAUUAAUAAUGAGAUGGACUAAGCAAUCUAAAGUGAAUAUUCAUUGAGACGAAGUAUGAUAUUAAGUGAAGGAAAGGGGAAUUUUAGGAAAAAGAUCUAAAAACAAAGAUCUUUUUCCCCUUACUCUUUAAUAUCAUCGUAAUGUUUUUGCUAUCAUUCUAGAUCGUAUAUAGCAUAGUUGUAUAUUUAGAUUCCCCU